GAACCCCAUACACUUUAAAAGAGAAUUCAAUAUAAUUAUUGAGCUUACUAGUAUUUUGUUGUCAAAAUGAAAAAUAUUCUUGAUAUAAACUAAAUAUUUUAAUUUUUAGCUUUUUUUUGUACAAAAUUGUAUUGUUUUACACCUCUAAUUAAAUAAGCAUGAAUAGGAACGAUAGGAUGGAAGUUUCCGUUCAGCAGAUGGCUAAAUGUCUCUGGAUACUAAAUAAGCCGCACACGGCGACACAACUAUUGAGAGCUUGUAGAGUUAAUUUGAAGGGCACAGCUCGCCAACAAUAUACAUUAAUAAAGACAGUUAAAGAUUAUUUGGAAAUUGGCGUACAAAACGGAUCUAUAAUAAGGAGCAAGUAUCACAGUUAUGCUGCAUCGCCAAGUUUCAGUUAUUAUGAAACAAUGCCAAAUCCUCCUAGAUUUUAAUAAGGACUAAAUUGACGUUGCCCCAUAUUUUAUAAUUUCUCCACAAUUGGUUUCGCGAUUCAUUUUAUUUAGGCCGUCUGUCUAAGUACAAUCAAAUAACAUACUAGCUGUGAAAUAAUUAAUAACUAAUUUAAAUAAAAAUGUUUUGAGGAAUAAAACCAAAUAAAUUUAGACCAAGAGAAUCUGCUUCAAUGAUGCAAGUAUUUACACCAAAGUCACAUCACGCGAACAGCUGAUUAAAGUUAAACAAGUAAGCAAACUCUGGCUGAUUAAAGUAAAAUAUUAAGGGCAAUAGAAGAAAAUGCGCAAUUUAAAAAAUUUUACGGUACUUAUUUCAUUUUAUAAGUAUAAUUUAAUUUUAUAAUCAAUUUAUUUGUUUAUUAUUAAACUCAACUUAUUUCCGUUUUACAUCAUAAUAAGUAACUCGCUAUGAAACGAUCACAUUUCUAUACAAAGUCAAUAAAUUGAUCGUCUCAGUGAUUUUCAUUCAUUUUCUCGUGCCUCUGUCUAUUUGGUUUUAUUUUUCGACUUUUUAAAUUACAAAGCAAUUUGAAAAUAAAUUUAAAGCGCCAAAAUUGAUCAAUGAUGCAUCUCCAUUAGCGUCUCUUUCUUACACGCAGCCGUUUAUGGAAUAAUGCGUCGGAAGAUUCUUCUUAA